rnacentral:rRNA from 1 species
UUGAAUUGAAGAGUUUGAUCAUGGCUCAGAUUGAACGCUGGCGGCAGGCCUAACACAUGCAAGUCGAGC